rnacentral:rRNA from 1 species
AAUAUUGCGCAAUGGGGGGAACCCUGACGCAGCAACGCCGCGUGAGUGACGAAGGUUUUCGGAGCGUGAAGCGCUGUCAUCGUGGUCGAAGAAGUGACGGUACCCGAGGAGGAAGCCCCGGCUAACUACGUGCCAGCAGCCGCGGUAAUACGUAGGGGGCGAGCGUUUUCCGGAAUUACUGGGCGUAAAGGGUGCGUAGUCGGCAAAUUAAGUCUGAUGUGAAAGCCCACGGCUCAACCGUGGAGGGUCAUUGGAAACUGGAGGGCUUGAGUACAGAAGAGGAAAGCGGAAUUCCACGUGUAGCGGUGAAAUGCGUAGAGAUGUGGAGGAACACCAGUGGCGAAGGCGGCUUUCUGGUCUGUAACUGACGCUGAGGCGCGAAAGCGUGGGGAGCAAACA